UCAAGAGCCAUGUGCCUUCUGGACACAGCAUAAGCUAAGAGUCAGAUUUAAAAUAAAGGGUGUGCCCCAGAAAUGCUUUUUGUUAGCUCUAUCCAGUUUAAUCAAUCAACCCUUGUGUUGGAGUAAUGGUGUUUAAGAAGCUGACGAGCCCCAGGAGUGCCUUAUCUUCGGUGAAGUGUAGUGAGCUCUCCUGGGACAGCUACUCUGCAUGCAGGCAGUGCAAGCCGGAGGCGGAGCGAGCUGCGGGCAUAGCCGAAGGGCAGGGUGUCUGCACAGCCCAAUCACCUCCUCUCUCGGCCUGGAAAUCACAGCUCCUUUCUGAACUAUUUGCUGAAAGCGCCCAGACAUGGAGAGGUGUUUGACUUACGCAGAGUGAAGGCCCUGAACCUGAUUUAACCAGAGAAUGAGAAUUGGCAAAGCCCAAUGCCUCACAACCCCUGAAACAACUGUGUAUAGAAGAUUUAAGAAAGCUUCAUGCAGUAUUUCAGGCAAGGCAGUGUGAAUGACCAGAGCAUGUAGAUGAUAAUUAUCAGGUAUGAGAUUUUAAACCCAUAUUUGUUAGGUAAGUCAUAACAGUAGCUAAUUCUUGUCCAGAAUAAAUCCCAGUUUCUCUAUACAGCAAUGCCUAAAGACAGACUGUGAAGAGGGGCAAGCAUGAUGGGACAGUGCUCAGCCCGAUGAGUGCCAAUGAUGUAUGAGUGUGGUGGGGUUCCUUGCAUGUUUUGAGUGGCACUCAUUUAAAAGGAAACAAAUGCAUGAAGAGGGGAAGGAGAAUACUGAAGGAAGGACUGAGGCAAUGGUUAAGGGAAGGGCAUGAGAGGUGGAGGAGAGCAGUGAAUUCGAGGUGAAAGGGCUGAGAGAAAGAUGAAGUUGGAGGGAAAGCUAGUCAGCACAGGGCAAGGGAAGUCCUGCCACAGCACUGCCCCACGAGGCUGGCAUGGCUUUAUGCCCCAGCCAAAGCUCUGCUAAAUCCCUUUGUGCUUCUUGCCUGAUUUUACUUGGUGGUGAUGCAACCUGGUUAGUGACAUCACAUAAAUACACCUACAAGUGGUGUUGCAGUGUCUAGAUUGUGACCGGCAGAUUAGUCAGCGGUGUCACAAUCCCAUGUUUAUAUCAUUGUCUCCUGAAUGUGGAAGCGAUUGCUAUGGAGAUAACCAAGUUUUCAUCAGUGGAUCAGGCUGUUAAGAAAAAGCAUCCUUUUCACAGAGACAAACAGCUUUGAGUUAUUUGGAAUAAAAUCAUGGUGAACUCAAGUUAAGUAGAAAUAUCAAGUGUGGCACAUCACUAAGAUUUUAGCAGUUGGGGUGCAAUAUAAACAUGUGACUGAACUCCAGCACAUCCUGCAUCUGGGUCACCUAUGGCUACAGGGCAGUAUUAUAUUUUAUUGUAAAAGAAAAGUGUGCUCCUGUGCCAAAAAGCAGCUGUUGCGUCUGCACAUCCCAGAAUUCUAUAAAGAGAAGCAGGGAGCAUGAGGAGUGAAUGACACCCAAGAAUGUCAGCAGGCCUUCCCAGUACUUGAGAUUUUAAGCUGGUUUGGUAAUUUGUAUCAGAAACAAAGCAAGUUAUACUUGUUUGGAAAAAUGUAACUUCCUAACCUCUUAA